AUGAAAAAAAAGGUUUCAUCACUCUCUCUCUCUCUCUCUCUCUCCCUCCCUCUUUCUCUCUCUAUCAAAUCCCUAAUUUCUUUUCAUGCAUCUCUUUUCUACGGAUUCGAUAUAUGAAUUCACUGGUUCUUCUCAACGAUCUCGUUGAUUGCUUCUGAUCUGUGGUUCAUCAUUGUCUCAAAGCAUCUCUGUCCAGGGCUGGAUCACUCCGUUGCCGCCUCAUCUCUCCUUGAUUCUCCGAUUUCCCGGCGUAUCUCCGGUAGCGAUUCCGAUCAGCUGCAUCAGCCAGUGACAGCUGAAGAUUUGGAAUCCGCUUCUACUACACAAGAAAAUUAAUAGGCUGACUUGAAAUUGAGGGGAGCCUCUUGUUGUCUGCCAGAAUUGCAAUUCAUCUCUCUUGCUUUGGCACAUAAUAAAUUGAAGUUCAGAAAAUCCGUCUGUGUCCCUCUGCACGUGCUGACACAACCACAUGCAUUGAGAAGAAAUUUGCUAAAAACCCAACUAAGGUUGAAGAGCUUGUCACCUAAAGGUAUGUCCACAAGAGGCAGAGGACGAGCAGGGUAUGUACCUAGACCCCAUGCACCUACACCCCAUGCAUCCACUAAAUCAGUUCGCUCAUCCACUCAAUCAACACCUGGACCCCAUGCAUCCAUUAAAUCAGUUCGAUCAUCUACACUGCACCCAUUUACAUCAGAAUCGGUACAUGAAGUUACGUCACAAGUUUCACACUCGGAUACUUCUAGCACACAUUGCAACACUGAUGGUUUGUAAAUAUUUUAAGUUUAUGUUUUGUUUUGGUUGGUGGUUCUCG